UGUCUGACAUGUAUGACAGUAGGUGGGUUUCCAUGCACCUGUUUUUAUUCGCAUUUUCAAUUUGCGCAUUAAAAACCCGAAUGGAAACACUGGAAAUUCAAAAAAAA